GGCCGAGGCUUGGGCGAAGCCAGCGGGCCAAGAAGUUGCCGAGCAGCCAGCCGCCUGCGCCAACCAGAACAAUUCUUGUGAUUCGGGCGAUGAGGGCGGUGCCUAGCUCGGCCAGCGACAGCCCCAUAGCGCCCGCCUCGUGGGCAUAAACCUUGACCGGAAUGCCGUUGAACAUUUGCUGCCAGAAUGCUCCGCCCAAGUUAGCGUCGAGUUGCUCGGCGGCCACUUCAAACAUGCGCGGGGUGGUCAGCGGUGAUGGUGGUUCGAACCCGCUCUUGACCA
rnacentral:tmRNA from 1 species